AGCGCGCAUGACAGUCUCUGAGCAGCUGCUGAUCCGGUUUCAAUCCGAGGGAGACGAAUUUUUGCAAUCAAUCAUCACAUGUGAUAAAACCUGGAUGCAUCAUUUCAUCCCAGAGACAAAAAGGAGCAGCAUGGAAUCGCGACAUUAGGCUUCCUCGCCGCCAUGUGAAGUUCAUGGGAAUUGUCUUCUGGGAGAUGCGAGGUGUCAUACACGUGGACUUCUUGGAGCAAGGGGCCACGACUAAUGCCCAGUACUACUCCACGGUGAUAAAGGGUGCCGUACGAAACGCAAUUCGCAAGAAAAGGCCUGGGAUGUCGUCCGGAAGGGUAAUUCUUCUUCAAGGCAAUGCCCGAAUCGGCGAAUUGGUUGACUGGUGGCGUAUUAUUACCGAGCGUUCUGCCUGCCGGCGGAAGGCAUGGUACCCUGGGAGGACCGUGCGCCCUGGACCAACUUCAUAGGGGACCUUACCGACAACUGAGGAGAACCUAGGAAAAACACCCAGUCAGCGUAGCCGGGUCACCUGCCAGUUUCAAUUUCGAAGGCGAUGAUCUUCGCCACUAAGAGAAUCCUACUGUGCUACUUGGGGGCAAGGACAGACACAAGUGUACAGCCACGGGCUAGAGAUUUGCAUUUCAAUUCUGCACAAAUAAAGCGGAGUCAGUUGCAAGUAGGAAGCUGUAGAACAUUAUGUGCACCAGUGGCAGCAUCUGCAUUCUUUUGUGCCACAGUUGCCGUCUUUCUGUGCGCCAAGGUGUGCUCCCACCGAUGAGUAUUCCAAUGCACACUUUCAGGGCAAUUAUGCUAGCGCCUCCUGAACAGCAAUACCAGCUCUUGAUAAUGAGCAAUUCUAGAGCGAGCUCAUCAAUAUCUUUGCUGAUUGCGACAUGUGUAUUAAACGUUCAUGACCGCA